rnacentral:rRNA from 1 species
GGGUUGUGAGGUUAAGCGACUAAGCGUACACGGUGGAUGCCCUGGCAGUCAGAGGCGAUGAAGGACGUGCUAAUCUGCGAUAAGCGUCGGUAAGGUGAUAUGAACCGUUAUAACCGGCGAUUUCCGAAUGGGGAAACCCAGUGUGAUUCGUCACACUAUCAUUAACUGAAUCCAUAGGUUAAUGAGGCGAACCGGGGGAACUGAAACAUCUAAGUACCCCGAGGAAAAGAAAUCAACCGAGAUUCCCCCAGUAGCGGCGAGCGAACGGGGAGCAGCCCAGAGCCUGAAUCAGUGUGUGUGUUAGUGGAAGCGUCUGGAAAGGCGCGCGAUACAGGGUGACAGCCCCGUACACAAAAAUGCACAUGCUGUGAGCUCGAUGAGUAGGGCGGGACACGUGGUAUCCUGUCUGAAUAUGGGGGGACCAUCCUCCAAGGCUAAAUACUCCUGACUGACCGAUAGUGAACCAGUACCGUGAGGGAAAGGCGAAAAGAACCCCGGCGAGGGGAGUGAAAAAGAACCUGAAACCGUGUACGUACAAGCAGUGGGAGCACAGAGCAAUCUGUGUGACUGCGUACCUUUUGUAUAAUGGGUCAGCGACUUAUAUUCUGUAGCAAGGUUAACCGAAUAGGGGAGCCGAAGGGAAACCGAGUCUUAACUGGGCGUUAAGUUGCAGGGUAUAGACCCGAAACCCGGUGAUCUAGCCAUGGGCAGGUUGAAGGUUGGGUAACACUAACUGGAGGACCGAACCGACUAAUGUUGAAAAAUUAGCGGAUGACUUGUGGCUGGGGGUGAAAGGCCAAUCAAACCGGGAGAUAGCUGGUUCUCCCCGAAAGCUAUUUAGGUAGCGCCUCGUGAAUUCAUCUCCGGGGGUAGAGCACUGUUUCGGCAAGGGGGUCAUCCCGACUUACCAACCCGAUGCAAACUGCGAAUACCGGAGAAUGUUAUCACGGGAGACACACGGCGGGUGCUAACGUCCGUCGUGAAGAGGGAAACAACCCAGACCGCCAGCUAAGGUCCCAAAGUCAUGGUUAAGUGGGAAACGAUGUGGGAAGGCCCAGACAGCCAGGAUGUUGGCUUAGAAGCAGCCAUCAUUUAAAGAAAGCGUAAUAGCUCACUGGUCGAGUCGGCCUGCGCGGAAGAUGUAACGGGGCUAAACCAUGCACCGAAGCUGCGGCAGCGACACUUAUGUGUUGUUGGGUAGGGGAGCGUUCUGUAAGCCUGUGAAGGUGUGCUGUGAGGCAUGCUGGAGGUAUCAGAAGUGCGAAUGCUGACAUAAGUAACGAUAAAGCGGGUGAAAAGCCCGCUCGCCGGAAGACCAAGGGUUCCUGUCCAACGUUAAUCGGGGCAGGGUGAGUCGACCCCUAAGGCGAGGCCGAAAGGCGUAGUCGAUGGGAAACAGGUUAAUAUUCCUGUACUUGGUGUUACUGCGAAGGGGGGACGGAGAAGGCUAUGUUGGCCGGGCGACGGUUGUCCCGGUUUAAGCGUGUAGGCUGGUUUUCCAGGCAAAUCCGGAAAAUCAAGGCUGAGGCGUGAUGACGAGGCACUACGGUGCUGAAGCAACAAAUGCCCUGCUUCCAGGAAAAGCCUCUAAGCAUCAGGUAACAUCAAAUCGUACCCCAAACCGACACAGGUGGUCAGGUAGAGAAUACCAAGGCGCUUGAGAGAACUCGGGUGAAGGAACUAGGCAAAAUGGUGCCGUAACUUCGGGAGAAGGCACGCUGAUAUGUAGGUGAAGUCCCUCGCGGAUGGAGCUGAAAUCAGUCGAAGAUACCAGCUGGCUGCAACUGUUUAUUAAAAACACAGCACUGUGCAAACACGAAAGUGGACGUAUACGGUGUGACGCCUGCCCGGUGCCGGAAGGUUAAUUGAUGGGGUCAGCGCAAGCGAAGCUCUUGAUCGAAGCCCCGGUAAACGGCGGCCGUAACUAUAACGGUCCUAAGGUAGCGAAAUUCCUUGUCGGGUAAGUUCCGACCUGCACGAAUGGCGUAAUGAUGGCCAGGCUGUCUCCACCCGAGACUCAGUGAAAUUGAACUCGCUGUGAAGAUGCAGUGUACCCGCGGCAAGACGGAAAGACCCCGUGAACCUUUACUAUAGCUUGACACUGAACAUUGAGCCUUGAUGUGUAGGAUAGGUGGGAGGCUUUGAAGUGUGGACGCCAGUCUGCAUGGAGCCGACCUUGAAAUACCACCCUUUAAUGUUUGAUGUUCUAACGUUGACCCGUGAUCCGGGUUGCGGACAGUGUCUGGUGGGUAGUUUGACUGGGGCGGUCUCCUCCUAAAGAGUAACGGAGGAGCACGAAGGUUGGCUAAUCCUGGUCGGACAUCAGGAGGUUAGUGCAAUGGCAUAAGCCAGCUUGACUGCGAGCGUGACGGCGCGAGCAGGUGCGAAAGCAGGUCAUAGUGAUCCGGUGGUUCUGAAUGGAAGGGCCAUCGCUCAACGGAUAAAAGGUACUCCGGGGAUAACAGGCUGAUACCGCCCAAGAGUUCAUAUCGACGGCGGUGUUUGGCACCUCGAUGUCGGCUCAUCACAUCCUGGGGCUGAAGUAGGUCCCAAGGGUAUGGCUGUUCGCCAUUUAAAGUGGUACGCGAGCUGGGUUUAGAACGUCGUGAGACAGUUCGGUCCCUAUCUGCCGUGGGCGCUGGAGAACUGAGGGGGGCUGCUCCUAGUACGAGAGGACCGGAGUGGACGCAUCACUGGUGUUCGGGUUGUCAUGCCAAUGGCACUGCCCGGUAGCUAAAUGCGGAAGAGAUAAGUGCUGAAAGCAUCUAAGCACGAAACUUGCCCCGAGAUGAGUUCUCCCUGACUCCUUGAGAGUCCUGAAGGAACGUUGAAGACGACGACGUUGAUAGGCCGGGUGUGUAAGCGCAGCGAUGCGUUGAGCUAACCGGUACUAAUGAACCGUGAGGCUUAACCUUACAACGCCGAAG